rnacentral:lncRNA from 1 species
UUCGGCGUUACCAGGAGAGACAUGCCACCAUUAGGGCUUCAUUUCCCUGCAGUCUUCUUUAAAUACCAAAACUGCCCUGGGAAGGAUAAGACAUCAGUUUCUUCAUACUUCAGAGCAAAUGGGAUUGAUUCCCAGGACCUCCUUUCUGUGGACUGGGUUUUUGCCUCCUCACCAAGAGACUGGGCUCCCUGGGCGAGCAGAGGCUGCUGGGUUCAGUAUCUGAACACUUUUGCUAAAGGUCUCUGGAAAGCUCCCUGUGUUAAUUCUCGAUGAGACUACGUCUGUGCCGGCCGCUUCCUGAGCCUCCUUCCAUGUGCAUAGGCCUGCUGCAUGCUGGAGACCUGCGGCACAGCUGCCAAGUGCCCCGUGUGGUUCUGUGAUCUUGGGACAGUCACUUCCUCUCUGUGGUUGUCAGUCUUCUCAUCCCUAAGAUGGAAUAAAAAGGCCUACCUCAUUGGGCUCGUGUGGGUGAGGAGAACUGAAGAGUCUGAGAGCGCGGCACGAGCCAGAGGCUACGGAAAACACUGCCCUCCUACACUCCACCUUGGAGAGACCCAGAAAAGAACAAGCUUCAUUUGUAAAAAAGGAAAACAACUCAGGCAAUGGGGGUGGCUUAAAGGCACUCUACAGUGUGCAGAUGCCUUCCACUUCUUCCAUCUGCCCUGUCUCUCCAAGAACCCCUAUGGCCCCGGUCUCAGAACAGAGCUGAGUGCAGAAAUGAAAAUCUAUGGCUCUGUGUUCCAAAACGAUGAAGAAUUUCAAGAUGGUGGCAGUGGUAAAAUCUUUCUCCAGGAAAAAUCUGUCCUUGGCCCAAUGUGUAAACACUUGCUGAGGAACUUGGAAUAACUUGCAGUGUCUUGCAGUAUUGUGAAACC